rnacentral:rRNA from 1 species
UUAAACUGGAGGAAGGUGGGGAUGACGUCAAAUCAUCAUGCCCCUUAUGUCUUGGGCUUCACGCAUGCUACAAUGGCCGGUACAAAGGGUUGCGAUACUGUGAGGUGGAGCUAAUCCCAAAAAGCCGGUCUCAGUUCGGAUUGAGGUCUGCAACUCGACCUCAUGAAGUUGGAGUCGCUAGUAAUCGCAGAUCAGCAACGCUGCGGUGAAUACGUUCCCGGGCCUUGUACACACCGCCCGUCAAGUCACGAAAGUUGGUAACACCCGAAGCCGGUGGCCUAACCCCUUGUGGGAGGGAGCCGUCGAAGGUGGGACCGGCGAUUGGGACUAAGUCGUAACAAUGUGCUUGAGGC